rnacentral:tRNA from 1 species
CGCAGGGUGGAGCAGUUCGGAGUGCUCGCAGGUUUCAUAUGCCUGAGGUCGCGGGUUCAAAUCCCGUCCCUGCAAC